rnacentral:rRNA from 1 species
UACGAAGGGGGCUAGCGUUGCUCGGAAUCACUGGGCGUAAAGGGUGCGUAGGCGGGUCUUUAAGUCAGGGGUGAAAUCCUGGAGCUCAACUCCAGAACUGCCUUUGAUACUGAGGAUCUUGAGUUCGGGAGAGGUGAGUGGAACUGCGAGUGUAGAGGUGAAAUUCGUAGAUAUUCGCAAGAACACCAGUGGCGAAGGCGGCUCACUGGCCCGAUACUGACGCUGAGGCACGAAAGCAUGGGGAGCAAACAGG